CUUCAGAGAACUGUGUCGCUGUGCCGUGCCAUGUAGUCACCACACCCUGUUGUGGUUAGAGGGCUUGUGAUACAGCAUGCUCUGGGCUUUAGCACUGUGGUGAAGGGUUCCAAACCACCACGGUUCCUACGUGGACGUGUAAACGGCUUCUGGUGAAACUGGCUGCUGGUUGUGUUUAGAGGCCAUGUGGCUUGUUAGCUUGUUAGCUUGCAGCUGGGCCUUACUUUGCAAAGAGAGUGAAGAGCACCUGCACCUGCAUGACAAGUAGAACACUUAGUGGUGAGGUGGGUUGGUAAGCUGAGUAGGACAGACAGUGGCUUUGUCUUCAGCAGUAGGGCCAACUGAAAGACAGACAGACAGACAGACAGACAGACAGACAGACAGACAGACAGACAGACAGACAGACAGACAGACAGACAGACAGACAGACAGACAGACAGACAGGCUUUGUCUUCAGCAGUAGGGCCAACUGAAAGACAGACAGACAGACAGACAGACAGACAGGCUUUGUCUUCAGCAGUGGUGCCAACUGAAAGGUAGAGACACACAAAGCAGUGUGCCAGACUGAAGGGUGUUUGAGAUGGAGACAGACA
ensembl:lncRNA